rnacentral:misc_RNA from 1 species
AGGCUUGCUCGGGAGACAUUUCGAUCCUCCGUUGGCUCCUCCUUGAAGGUGUCGUCUGAGGGUCGCGUGUUUCUCGUCUUGCGUUGGGACGACGCGUGAGUGGUUUUUAGGACGUGAUCCCAGGGCAGGCUCCAUGUUUCGUGCAUCGAACUGCCCUGGUCCGUCCGUUUCAUUAGUUGGUUCGCCUCUGCCCAUUCAGGGCUGGUUGCGGCUGCACGGUGGGUUCCUGUGCUCGAUAUCGGAAUACGGUAGUUGGGUGGAUUCUUGUCCCCGUCAUGUUCUCGUCGAUCCACCUCCGUCUCUUGGGAGUUGGUGGAUAUCAUCGUGCCGGCGUCCGACGUUCUCCAUCCGGAAAGUCCACCCCCUCCCGGGGCUUCUUCUCGUGAUGGCGCGUAGGUGCUUCCUGGCAUGCUCUCGGGUACGGUGGUUAUUUCGUUGGUUUUCGCAACGGUCCUCGUCGACCGUUGUGACAUAGAUGUGUCGAAGCUUUAACGCUUCUGCUCGCGUGACUCUCGUGCUUGUCCAAUGGCUCGCGGAGCUUUACCGUUUCGUGAUCGUCUUGGGGAGGCAUGGAGGUCUACGGAGGGACGCUACCUGGUUGAUCCUGCCAGA